rnacentral:lncRNA from 1 species
UUCAAUUGAUAUAAGUGGAAACCAUUAAAGAAUGUCCUGCAAUCAAGUAUCAGAGUAUAAAGUAAUGGUUAAUCAACUUUUGAUUGUGAAUUAAGUGUAACCGAACAAGCAUCAAGUUCAUUGAUAUGAGAAACAUCCCUUGCAAUGGUAAGACCAUCUCUUAAUGGCCAUAGUUCUACUUGAACACUAGUAGCAGAUGAUAUAUGGCUAUAUGCUAGAACAAUCCAAUCCCCAUUACUAUCCCAAAUAAUUAUCCUUGUUCCAACUUUCCCAGGAGUAGUUAAGGUGAAGCCAUCCAUAUUCAAUUUAUGUCAUCCUCGUAGAGGUGGCUCCUAGUGAAUUCCUACCAUAGUGCAUAGCCCAUAUUGCAAUGUCGGCACGAAAAGAGUAUAGAAUCCACAACAACAUCCUUAGAUAACCCAAUUUUCCCUAGCAUAAAAGCAAACAUAACUCUCCAAGGGAUUCGGUGAUCAUGAUGCUAAACUCUGGCAUUCAAGUUAUUCUUUAACUAGCCAUAUAGCAAAGCACCAAAUUGAGUUCAAUUAUGUCCCCUUAGCCAAUUUUCGUUCCACCAUUGUAGAGAGAACCUACACUCUUUACGUACAAGUGUAAGGGUUUUCAGUGAUCCCUGCGUAAGGGGCACUUCUCAUCCACUUGGCUCCUCUCCACUUAAUGAACACUUCAGUUGGGACAAUCUCAUGGAACCACUCUUAAAGGGAAAAUAACAUAAUUUUGGAGGGACUUUAACUUUCCAAACAUGUUUCCAAUGUGAUCAGAUUUUAAUCUCAGCAAUAAACUUAGAAGUUAAGUCAUUUUUGGUAAAGUUAUAUGUAACACCCCUAACCCGUGUCCGUCGCCGGAUUAGGGUUACGAGGCUUUAUCGAUCAAAAUACAACUCAGAACAGACAUUCAUUUCAAUUCAAGUACCAAAAAAAAAAUGUAAUCAGUUUAAUACUAUUCAUCUAGUAUAAAUUUAAACCAAACUAACAUGCUUCAAUACUAUAAUUCAUACUCUACCCAAAUUAAUAUUCUAACAUUAUAACCAAUGAGUCAUAGCAAUCGAAUACUUAACUUAUAACCAAGUAUAAUUCAUUUCAUAUACCAAUCAUAUAUUCAUAUAAAUCUAUUUCAUUAAAUACUUUCCAAAAGUACUAUUUAUAAAUAUGCGCUUUUUCACAUUUUACUAAGUCAAGCCAAACCACAUGAUUUAUUAAACAUUAAUAUAUAUACGACAUUAACAACUUCACAUAAUGGUCAAGUAUAAAAUUUGGUUUUACCAAAUUAUGCAUAUUUUACCAAAAUAAUAACUACCAAUUUCACAACUCAAAUCAAAGCUAACUGUACCAUUUAUAACCGUACCUAAAUGACCAUCAAUGUAACACCCCUUACCCGUGACCGUCGCCGGAAUCGAGUACGAGAUGUCAUCCAAUUUAACUUACCGAUUCGGAGCAUAAAAAUUUGCUUUUAAAAUUAAAUUCACUGUUCACAACAAAACUGUCCACCUGCGCGACUGUCACUAAUUUAAUUAUAACUUGAGUUACGAAACUCAAAAUUUAAAUCUGUAAAUUUUCCCUGAAACUAGACUCAUAUUCCUACUUACCAUAAAAUUUUCAGAAUUUUUGACUUAGCCAAUUAGUACAGUUUAUUCAUUAAAGUAUCCCCUGUUUCACAGCUCGACAGAUCUGACCUCUUGGCACUAAAAAUCAAUUAUCUAAUUGUACAGAAUUCAUAUAAGGUUACCAUUAAUUUCUUUUGAAAAUAGACUCACUAAGGAAUCUAGACAUAUAAAUUAUGACCUAUAAUUAUUUCUGUACAAUUUAUAAUGAUUUUCUAAAGUUAGAACAGGGGACUUCAAAAACCAUUCUGACCCUGUCUCACUAAAAUUCAAAUAUCUCAAAAUAUAGAAUUCCUUUGCCUACGCCGUUUCUUUCAUGUAAAAAUAGACUUGAUAAGCUUUAAUUCUAUAUACCAUUCACUCUAUAAUUCCAUAUCUACUAUUUAUGGUGAUUUUUCACAUUCACGUCACUGCUGCUGUCAAAGAAACUGCUUCUAUGUAUUAGCUACCAUUUACACAUACAUAACACCAAAACAUAAUCUUUACUAACCAUAUCAUAUGAACAUACUCAAAAUGAUUAAGACUCUAUACAUGCCAUAACUUUAAACAUUUUGAAAACACAUAAUACCGAGACGAUUAUGAUAGUGUGAUACGAGCUCCGACGAUCCCCACUUCGAUCAAGUUCAAAUCACUAUAAAACAAAGGAAAAGAAGAAAGGUGUAAGCUACUAAUAGCUUAGUAAGUUACAUGUAAAUAAUAGGUACUCAUUUAACAAUUAACACUUUUAACAUAUAACUAAUCAAAACAUUUCUUAGCAAUUUCAAUCACUUACAAAUGCACAAUCUUACCAAAUCACUUGCAUAUACAUUUUCACACUUUUAUCACAUAUACUCAUUCUUUCAAUUGUACCUGCAUACACACUUCAUUUCAUAUUCACUUUAAUUCAUUAUUAAUCCCGUUGAACACUUGGAAUAUACACGGAUACGUAGAGAUUUAGCACAUAAGUGCCACACUGAUAUGUAGCCGAAGCUACCACUGAAUGUAGCCGAAGCUACCACUGAAAUGUAGCCGAAGCUACCACUGAUCAAUAACACUGGAAAUGUCCACGGGCCUGCUCACACAAGCUGUCAGGUGUCUGCAACACAUGCUAGACCACCCAGCACCCGGGACUCACUGUAACACUGUAACACUGGUCUCUAGUGACAUGUCACUUGUAUCCACUUCUAUUCCUAAGUUCAACCGGGAAUUUACACUUAACACUUUAUCACUUGAAUAAUUCAUGAACAAUUUUCCUUCCACAUUCAAUAUUGAUUCACAUAUCAAAUAAAAUUCACAAUUUAUAAAAUAUAUUACUAUUAUUUACACAUAACUUACCUCGGAUGCAAAACGACUAUUUUUGUAAUUUAGUCGAUAACUUUCUCUUUUCCCCGAUCACUUCCACUAUUUCUUCUUUCUUGAUCUAUAUUAACACAAUUUAAUACAUUUUAUCAACAUUUCAUUCAAAUACAAUUCAUACACAACAUUUUGGCAAAUUUACAUUUUUCCCUGAAACUUUUCAAAAAUUCCACUUUUGUCCCUAAGCUCGUAAAAAUAAAAUUCACUAAAUUUUUAAAUUUCAAACUUCACAAAAUCAUAUUUCAUGCUCAUAACAGCCCUCAAUUUCACAAAAUCACAACUUUAUGCACACUUUACCAUCUUUCACAAUUUAGCCCUUUUUCAACAUUUUCAUCAAAAUUCAUCUAGUAAAACUUGUAAUUAACACUUCAAACAUUCAUUAUCUAACAUCACUAAUCAAUUUACAAUUAUAUCAUGAAUGGGUCAAUUUUUAAACUUUAAUUUCAUUUAAAUUAAAUGGUAGAAACAUGAAAUUCAAGCUUCAAUAAGCAUAAAAAUACGAAAAUAAUCAAAAACGGGACAAGAAAUCACUUACAAUUGAGCUUAGGAAGUUC